AUGUUCAGGUAAUCGCUGCAUCAUUUGAUGUAGAGGAAAGUCCAUGCUCGCACGAUCUGAAAUGAUCGUAGUGUUCGUGCCUAGUGAAUCAAUAAGCUAGGACAAUCUGGUAAACACUGGAUUGAUGGCGGGGAAAAGCACCUACAGCAGUAUUGCCAUGGUCGAGUACCCCUGAAAGUGCCACAGUGACGAAGCUCUUUUGGAAACGAAAGAGGUGGAACGCGGUAAACCCCACGAGCGAGAAACCCAAAUUUGGUAGGGGAACUAUCUCGAAGGAAUUGUAACGGAGAGAUAGACAGAUAGCAAUUGUUAUCUGUAGAUAGAUGAUUACCACCGGAGUACGAGGGUAAAACCGGUUGUAGUACAAAGGUACAAAACAUGGCUUAUCGAA
rfam:Bacillus okhensis strain Kh10-101 contig48, whole genome shotgun sequence.